rnacentral:rRNA from 1 species
AGCAGCCGCGGUAAUUCCAGCUCCAAUAGCGUAUAUUAAAGUUGUUGCAGUUAAAAAGCUCGUAGUUGAAUUUCGGGAUCAGUAUGUUGGUCGUGCUUCGGUACGUACUGUCAUUACUGGUUUCUACCUUCUGAAGAACCUUGAUGUCAUUAAUUUGGUGUCUUGGGGAAUCAGGACUGUUACUUUGAAAAAUUAGAGUGUUUAAAGCAAGCAUACGCUUGAAUACAUUAGCAUGGAAUAAUGAAAUAGGACGUUUGAUUCUAUUUUGUUGGUUUCUAGGAUCGACGUAAUGAUUAAUAGGGAUAGUUGGGGGCAUUAGUAUUCAAUUGUCAGAGGUGAAAUUCUUGGAUUUAUUGAAGACUAACUACUGCGAAAGCAUUUGCCAAGGAUGUUUUCAUUAAUCAAGAACGAAAGUUAGGGAUCGAAGACGAUCAGAUACCGUCGUAGUCU